CGACUGGAAACGGUCGCUAAUACCCCAUAUGCCGAGAGGUGAAAUGAAUUUCGCCUGAGGAUGAGCUCGCGUCUGAUUAGCUAGUUGGUGGGGUAAAGGCCUACCAAGGCGACGAUCAGUAGCUGGUCUGAGAGGAUGAUCAGCCACACUGGGACUGAGACACAGCCCAGACUCCUACGGGAGGCAGCUGUGGGGAAUUUUCCGCAAUGGGCGAAAGCCUGACGGAGCAACGCCGCGUGAGGGAUGAAGGCCUCUGGGCUGUAAACCUCUUUUCUCAAGGAAGAAGAUCUGACGGUACUUGAGGAAUAAGCCACGGCUAAUUCCGUGCCAGCAGCCGCGGUAAUACGGGAGUGGCAAGCGUUAUCCGGAAUUAUUGGGCGUAAAGCGUCCGCAGGCGGCCUUGUAAGUCUGUCGUUAAAGCGUGGAGCUUAACUCCAUUUCAGCGAUGGAAACUACAAGGCUUGAGUGUGGUAGGGGCAGAGGGAAUUCCCGGUGUAGCGGUGAAAUGCGUAGAUAUCGGGAAGAACACCAGUGGCGAAGGCGCUCUGCUGGGCCAUAACUGACGCUCAUGGACGAAAGCCAGGGGAGCGAAAGGGAUUAGAUACCCCUGUAGUCCUGGCCGUAAACGAUGAACACUAGGCGUCGGGGGAAUCGACCCCCUCGGUGUCGUAGCCAACGCGUUAAGUGUUCCGCCUGGGGAGUACGCACGCAAGUGUGAAACUCAAAGGAAUUGACGGGGGCCCGCGCAAGCGGUGGAGUAUGUGGUUUAAUUCGAUGCAACGCGAAGAACCUUACCAGGGUUUGACAUCCUGCGAAUCUCUUGGAAACGAGAGAGUGCCUUCGGGAACGCAGUGACAGGUGGUGCAUUGCUGUCGUCAGCUCGUGUCGUGAGAUGUUGGGUUAAGUCCCGCAACGAGCGCAACCCACGUCUUUAGUUGCCAGCAUUUAGUUGGGCACUCUAGAGAGACCGCCGGUGAUAAACCGGAGGAAGGUGUGGAUGACGUCAAGUCAUCAUGCCCCUUACAUCCUGGGCUACACACGUACUACAAUGCUACGGACAAAGGGCAGCAAACUCGCGAGAGCAAGCAAAUCCCAUAAACCGUGGCUCAGUUCAGAUCGUAGGCUGCAACUCGCCUACGUGAAGGAGGAAUCGCUAGUAAUCGCAGGUCAGCAUACUGCGGUGAAUACGUUCCCGGGCCUUGUACACACCGCCCGUCACACCAUGGAAGUUAGCCACGCCCGAAGUCGUUACUCCAACCCUUGUGGAGGAGGACGCCGA
rnacentral:rRNA from 1 species